UGGGGAAUAUUGGACAAUGGGCGAAAGCCUGAUCCAGCCAUGCCGCGUGUGUGAAGAAGGCCUUUUGGUUGUAAAGCACUUUAAGCGAGGAGGAGGCUACUUGGAUUAAUACUCUAGGAUAGUGGACGUUACUCGCAGAAUAAGCACCGGCUAACUCUGUGCCAGCAGCCGCGGUACUACAGAGGGUGCGAGCGUUAAUCGGAUUUACUGGGCGUAAAGCGUGCGUAGGCGGCUUCUUAAGUCGGAUGUGAAAUCCCUGAGCUUAACUUAGGAAUUGCAUUCGAUACUGGGAAGCUAGAGUAUGGGAGAGGAUGGUAGAAUUCCAGGUGUAACGGUGAAAUGCGUAGAGAUCUGGAGGAAUACCGAUGGCGAAGGCAGCCAUCUGGCCUAAUACUGACGCUGAGGUACGAAAGCAUGGGGAGCAAACAGG
rnacentral:rRNA from 1 species